CAGUAGCCGCGGUAAUACGUAGGUGGCAAGCGUUGUCCGGAAUUAUUGGGCGUAAAGGGCUCGCAGGCGGUUUCUUAAGUCUGAUGUGAAAGCCCCCGGCUCAACCGGGGAGGGUCAUUGGAAACUGGGAAACUUGAGUGCAGAAGAGGAGAGUGGAAUUCCACGUGUAGAGGUGAAAUGCGUAGAGAUGUGGAGGAACACCAGUGGCGAAGGCGACUCUCUGGUCUGUAACUGACGCUGAGGAGUGAAAGCGUGGGGAGCGAACAGGAUUAGAUACCCCUGUAGUCCCUGUCUCUUAUAC
rnacentral:rRNA from 1 species